ensembl:lncRNA
CUCGUUUAUGGCGCCCCCUAAUGGCGAAAUUUUCCGAAAUUUUUAUCGUACGACACUAAGGUUAGCACCAACAUGUGUCUAAAACUUGGAGUCGAUCCGAUGUGUAAUUUUGGAUUUUUUGGGAUUUUGGAUUUUCCACGUCUAAUUUAGCUAAUAAACCAAUAUUCAAAACGCUACCGUUUCGUCGUCGAAGGUCGGAUCAAAAAAGUAAUGCAGGAAUUCUUUUUGUGUAGGUCUGAAGAUGCCGUGUGCAAAGUUUUGUGUCAAUUGGUCGAGAAAUGUGGGAGGAGUAGCGAAAAAACAUUUUUGCGGUUUUCGCGAUUUAGCGAAAAAUAUUCAU